AUUGAACGCUGGCGGCAGGCCUAACACAUGCAAGUCGAGCGGAGCGGCGGACGGGUGAGUAAUGCCUAGGAAUCUGCCUGGUCGUGGGGGAUAACGUCCGGUAACGGGCCCUUAUACCGCAUCCUAUCAGAUGAGCCUCGGUGGGAGUAGCUAGUUGGUGGGGUAAAGGCCUACCAAGGCGACGAUGCGUAACUGGUCUGAGAGGAUGAUCAGUCACACUGGAACUGAGACACGGUCCAGACUCCUACGGGAGGCAGCAGUGGGGAAUAUUGGACAAUGGGCGAAAGCCUGAUCCAGCCAUGCCGCGUGUGUGAAGAAGGUCUUCGGAUUGUAAAGCACUUUAAGUUGGGAGGCGGUACCAACAGAAUAAGCACCGGCUAACUUCGUGCCAGCAGCCGCGGUAAUAG
rnacentral:rRNA from 1 species